rnacentral:miRNA from 1 species
UGGGUUGGCCAAAAAAUUCAUUAGGGUUUUUCCCAGCCAUCUUACAGAAAAACCCAAACAAACUUUUGGCCAACCAA